GAUGAACGCUAGCGGCAGGCCUAAUACAUGCAAGUCGAGGGGUAGAGAGAGCUUGCUCUCUUGAGACCGGCGCACGGGUGCGUAACGCGUAUGCAACCUACCUUUAUCUGGGGGAUAGCCCGAAGAAAUUCGGAUUAACACCGCAUAAAAUCACAGAACGGCAUCGUUCAAUGAUCAAAUAUUCAUAGGAUAGAGAUGGGCAUGCGUGCCAUUAGUUAGUUGGCGGGGUAACGGCCCACCAAGACCGCGAUGGCUAGGGGAUCUGAGAGGAUGGCCCCCCACACUGGUACGGAGACACGGACCAGACUCCUACGGGAGGCAGCAGUAAGGAAUAUUGGUCAAUGGAGGCAACGCUGAACCAGCCAUGCCGCGUGCAGGAAGACAGCCCUCUGGGUCGUAAACUGCUUUUAUUCGGGAAUAAACCUGCUUACGUGUAAGUAGCUGAAUGUACCGAAGGAAUAAGGAUCGGCUAACUCCGUGCCAGCCGCCGCCGUAAAAC
rnacentral:rRNA from 1 species